GUGGGGAAUCUUGCGCAAUGGGCGAAAGCCUGACGCAGCCAUGCCGCGUGAAUGAUGAAGGUCUUAGGAUUGUAAAAUUCUUUCACCGGGGACGAUAAUGACGGUACCCGGAGAAGAAGCCCCGGCUAACUUCGUGCCAGCAGCCGCGGUAAUACGAAGGGGGCUAGCGUUGCUCGGAAUUACUGGGCGUAAAGGGCGCGUAGGCGGACAGUUUAGUCAGAGGUGAAAGCCCAGGGCUCAACCUUGGCAUUGCCUUUGAUACUGGCUGUCUUGAGUACGGGAGAGGUGAGUGGAACUCCGAGUGUAGAGGUGAAAUUCGUAGAUAUUCGGAAGAACACCAGUGGCGAAGGCGACUCACUGGCCCGUUACUGACGCUGAGGCGCGAAAGCGUGGGGAGCAAACAGGAUUAGAAACCCUAGUAGUCC
rnacentral:rRNA from 1 species